GUGAGGAAUAUUGGUCAAUGGGGGCAACCCUGAACCAGCCAUGCCGCGUGAAGGACGACGGCCCUACGGGUUGUAAACUUCUUUUAUACGGGAAGAAAAAGGGGUACUCGUACCCCCCUGACGGUACCGUGUGAAUAAGCAUCGGCUAACUCCGUGCCAGCAGCCGCGGUAAUACGGAGGAUGCAAGCGUUAUCCGGAUUUAUUAGGUUUAAAGGGUGCGUAGGCGGGAUCGUAAGUCAGUGGUGAAAUGCCGCAGCUUAACUGCGGAACGGCCAUUGAUACUGCGGUCCUUGAGUAAAGUUGAGGCAGGCGGAAUGUGCAGUGUAGCGGUGAAAUGCUUAGAUAUUGCACAGAACACCGAUUGCGAAGGCAGCUUGCUAAACUUUAACUGACGCUGAUGCACGAAAGCGCGGGGAGCGAACAGGAUUAGAAACCCUUGUAGUCC
rnacentral:rRNA from 1 species